CAACUCUCAAGCUCUGCUUGGUAUUGGGUGUCACCUGGCAAUAAUGGUGCACCUCAAAAUCAGUGGCAGUGACAUUUGGCCUCAAGCGUAGUAGAAUAUCUCGCUUUGGGAUCUUGAUGAGCGCUUGCUAUCAACUAAUUUUUGGU
rnacentral:misc_RNA from 1 species